rnacentral:other from 19 species
ACGGGGCUGCGCGGUUCGUUAAGGUCGCAUUUACCCCUGGGGCGAUACCAUCCUUCUAGGGAGCUGCCUCUGUCGGGACCGUGGUCCCGACAUUGCGGUGCCCACCUGUCUUGGCAGGCCACAGAAGGGUAAUCAUUGGCCGACGGCCGAGGCGGCUCCGUC